CACGUAGGGUGCGAGCGUUGUCCGGAAUUAUUGGGCGUAAAGAGCUCGUAGGCGGUCUGUUGCGUCGGCUGUGAAAACCCGGGGCUCAACUCCGGGCCUGCAGCCGAUACGGGCAGACUAGAGUUCGGCAGGGGAGACUGGAAUUCCUGGUGUAGCGGUGAAAUGCGCAGAUGUCAGGAGGAACACCGGUGGCGAAGGCGGGUCUCUGGGCCGAUACUGACGCUGAGGAGCGAAAGCGUGGGGAGCGAACAGG
rnacentral:rRNA from 1 species